UACGGAGGGGGCAAGCGUUAUUCGGAAUUAUUGGGCGUAAAGGGCGCGUAGGCGGCUAGAUGUGUCAAAGGUGAAAUCCCUCGGCUCAACUGAGGAACUGCCUUUGAAACUGUCUGGCUUGAGGCCGGGAGAGGGUAGCGGAAUUCCCAGUGUAGCGGUGAAAUGCGUAGAUAUUGGGAGGAACACCGGUGGCGAGGGCGGCAUCCUGGACCAAUAUUGACGCUGAGGAGCGAAAGCUAGGGGAGCAAACGGG
rnacentral:rRNA from 1 species